UGUUUCUCUUACUGUUUUAUUAGGUUUCAGGUGUUAUUAGGGUGGAAUAUCCUUGCUGUUUCUCAGAUUUAUUAGCUUAGGUAAUGGAAGUUAAGUGUCUCUAGUUUUCUUCUAAAUACCAACUAUUGCCCAAGCUAGGUCGAGUGGAUGGACUUGUUUAAUUGCUUUGAUGCAUUACAUUAGUUAGUCCAAUAGCUGUCCUUAGGUUGAUUUGCAAUCUAUGGUUC
rnacentral:lncRNA from 1 species